rnacentral:rRNA from 1 species
AUUGAACGCUGGCGGCAGGCCUAACACAUGCAAGUCGAACGAGUGGCGGACGGGUGAGUAAUGUCUGGGAAACUGCCCGAUGGCGGGGGAUAACUACUGGAAACGGUAGCUAAUACCGCAUACCAUCGGAUGUGCCCAGAUGGGAUUAGCUAGUAGGUGGGGUAACGGCUCACCUAGGCGACGAUCCCUAGCUGGUCUGAGAGGAUGACCAGCCACAAUGGAAAUGAGACACGGUCCAGACGCCUACGGGAGGCAGCAGUGGGGAAGAUUGCACAAUGGGCGCAAGCCUGAUGCAGCAAUGCCGCGUGUAUGAAGAAGGCCUUCGGGUUGUAAAGUACUUUCAGCAGGGAGGCGUUACUCGAAGAAGAAGCACCGGCUAACUCCGUGCCAGCAGCCGCGGUAAUUC